GUUUACGGCCAUACCAGCCUGGGUACGCCCGAUCUCGUCUGAUCUCGGAAGCUAAGCAGGGUCGGGCCUGGUUAGUACUUGGAUGGGAGACCGCCUGGGAAUACCAGGUGCUGUAUGCU
rnacentral:rRNA from 1 species